AGGUGUUGCAUGGCUGUCGUCAGCUCGUGCCGUUGAGGGUGUUACGGUUAAGUCCUGUAACGAGCGCAACCCUUAUCAUUAGUUGCUACGCAAGGGCACUCUAAUGGAGACUGCCGGUGACAACCGGAGGAAGGUGGGGAUGACGUCAAGUCCUCAUGGCCCUUAUGGUAGGGCUUCACACGUCAUACAAUGGUCGGUACAGAGGGUUGCCAAGCCGCGAGGUGGAGCCAAUCCCAGAAAGCCGAUCGUAGUCCGGAUUGUUCUCUGCAACUCGAGAGCAUGAAGUCGGAAUCGCUAGUAAUCGCGGAUCAGCAUGUCGCGGUGAAUACGUUCCCGGGUCUU
rnacentral:rRNA from 1 species